rnacentral:rRNA from 1 species
CCUACGGGAGGCAGCAGUGGGGAAUAUUGGACAAUGGGCGAAAGCCUGAUCCAGCCAUGCCGCGUAUGUGAAGAAGGCCUUCGGGUUGUAAAGCACUUUCAGUGGGGAAGAAAGCCUUGGGGCUAAUACCCUCGAGGAAGGACAUCACCCACAGAAGAAGCACCGGCUAACUCCGUGCCAGCAGCCGCGGUAAUACGGAGGGUGCGAGCGUUAAUCGGAAUUACUGGGCGUAAAGCGCGCGUAGGCGGUCUGAUAAGCCGGUUGUGAAAGCCCCGGGCUCAACCUGGGAACGGCAUCCGGAACUGUCAGGCUAGAGUGCAGGAGAGGAAGGUAGAAUUCCCGGUGUAGCGGUGAAAUGCGUAGAGAUCGGGAGGAAUACCAGUGGCGAAGGCGGCCUUCUGGACUGACACUGACGCUGAGGUGCGAAAGCGUGGGUAGCAAACAGGAUUAGAUACCCCAGUAGUC